rnacentral:rRNA from 1 species
GUGGGGAAUCUUGCGCAAUGGGCGAAAGCCUGACGCAGCCAUGCCGCGUGAGUGAUGAAGGUCUUAGGAUUGUAAAAUUCUUUCACCGGGGACGAUAAUGACGGUACCCGGAGAAGAAGCUCCGGCUAACUUCGUGCCAGCAGCCGCGGUAAUACGAAGGGGGCUAGCGUUGCUCGGAAUUACUGGGCGUAAAGGGCGCGUAGGCGGACAGCUUAGUCAGAGGUGACAGCCCAGGGCUCAACCUUGGAAUUGCCUUUGAUACUGGCUGUCUUGAGUUUGGGAGAGGUGAGUGGAACUCCGAGUGUAGAGGUGAAAUUCGUAGAUAUCCGGAGGAACACCAGUGGCGAAGGCGGCUUCCUGGACAGUAACUGACGCUGAGACGCGAAAGCGUGGGGAGCAAACAGGAUUAGAUACCCCGUGUAGUCC